rnacentral:rRNA from 1 species
UGCCAGCCGCCGCGGUAAUACGGAGGGCGCAAGCGUUGUUCGGAAUCAUUGGGCGUAAAGCGCGUGUAGGCGGCUUGGUUAGUCGGGUGUGAAAUCCCGGGGCCCAACCCCGGAACUGCACUCGAUACUGCCUCGCUAGAGUCCCGGAGAGGAAGGCGGAAUUCCCGGUGUAGAGGUGAAAUUCGUAGAUAUCGGGAGGAACACCAGCGGCGAAGGCGGCCUUCUGGACGGUGACUGACGCUGAGACGCGAAAGCGUGGGGAGCAAACAGGAUUAGAUA